rnacentral:tRNA from 1 species
CCAGUGGUGGCUGAGAGGUAAAGCGCUAGACUUCUGAACCGGGUGUCCCGGGUUCAAAUCCUGAAGACUGGG